GACGAACGCUGGCGGCGUGCUUAACACAUGCAAGUCGAACGGAGUGGCGAACGGGUGAGUAACACGUGGGUGAUCUGCCUUGCACUUCGGGAUAAGCUUGGGAAACUGGGUCUAAUACCGGAUAGUGCAAGAUGAGCUCGCGGCCUAUCAGCUUGUUGGUGGGGUAAUGGCCUACCAAGGCGUCGACGGGUAGCCGGCCUGGGAGGGUGUAAGGGCACAUUGGGCCUGGGAUACCGCCCAUAGGCCUUCGGGGGCAGCAGUGGGGAAUAUUGUACAAUCGGCGGAAGCCUGAUGCAGCGACGCCGCGGGGGGGAUGAAGGCCUUCGGGUUGUAAACUCCUUUCGGCAGGGACGCGGUACCUGUAGAAGAAGCACCGGCUAACUACGUGCCAGCAGCCGCGGUAAUUC
rnacentral:rRNA from 1 species